rnacentral:rRNA from 1 species
GACAGAGGUGCCGAGCGUUAGGCGGAAUCACUGGGCUUAAAGCGUGUGUAGGCGGACCGUUAAGUACCUUGUGAAAUCCCCCGGCUCAACCGGGGAGCGGCUGGGUAUACUGGCGGUCUUGAGCCAUCCAGGGGCAGUCGGAACAGACGGUGGAGCGGUGAAAUGCGUAGAUAUCGUCUGGAACGCCGAAGGUGAAAACAGACUGCUGGGGAUGCGCUGACGCUGAGACACGAAAGCCAGGGGAGCGGAACGGG